AUUUAGCUGAUGAGUCUCGAAUAGGAUGAAACACGUGUCCUGGAU
rnacentral:hammerhead_ribozyme from 1 species